rnacentral:rRNA from 1 species
CUCGCCUACAUGAAGCUGGAGUUGCUAGUAAUCGCGAAUCAGCAUGUCGCGGUGAAUACGUUCCCGGGCCUUGUACACACCGCCCGUCACACCAUGAGAGUUGGCAAUACCCAACGUACGUGAUCUAACCCGCAAGGGAGGAAGCGUCCUAAGGUAGGGUCAGCGAUUGGGGUGAAGUCGUAACAAGGUAAC